CUUCGUUUUUUGUCACACACACUCAAAAAUCAACUCCAGUUCUGUGCUCACUCGGAAACUCACCUAAAAAACCCUAAUUCCGGAGGAAAAAAAUGAGAAGUAAAUACGGCGGCGGGCAGCGGCGCAUUUCAAAAUCACCUCAGAAACCUCCCUCAUCCUCCACUCUACGCCCAUUUCCUCAAUUGAGUCCGUAUGAAGCUAAUAGUGAUGAAGACGAUGCUAAUUUAAGUGAAAAAUCAAGCAGAAGCGAUGAUGAUAUGGGUAACGGUGGUGAUUGGAUGGAGGUAGAUACAUGUUUAAGCUGUAAUAAGCGUGGGAAAUCGAAAUUGUUGGUUUGUUGUGUGAUUGGCUGUCCAGUUUCUAUUCAUGAAAAGUGUGCAAAUUUUAAGCUUGCUUUUGAUGACUCGGGUAGGUUUUGUUGCCCUUACUGUUCUUAUAAACGGGAGGUUGGUAGGGCUAAAGAGCUUUUUCGGAAGGCUAUGUUGGCAAAGAAGGCGUUGUUGGGUUUUAUAGAUCCUGAAAUGAUGGGUGGUGAGGCUACGGGUGGUAAAGAGAAGCGAAAUGGGGGGGAAAGAGCGGAAUUUGAUGGUGCUGAAAAUAGAGAUGCGCUGGUGGAGGAUGGUGGGGAUGGUCUCAAGGUAAGUGAUUGUGAUCGUUGUGAAGUGAUGGUUGAUAAUGAAAUGGAUGGUGCUUUGCCUGGUGCUGUUGACGGUAGUGACAAUGGACAUAAGAGUCGAGAGGAGAAAAUACCGGGGAUUGAGUCACUUGAGGAUUCAAUCAGCAAUGAAAUUAGGGAUGAGAGAAAUAUAUCUGAAACUCAUGAGUUUGAGACCUUAGAAGGUGAGGAAGGGAAGCAAGAACGGGAAAAGGAUGGCAGAGUUCUUGAGGGUGGAGAGCGAGCAGAAUCUUCAAAGGAUCAUUAUGUAGAGAAAGAACAAAAACAGAUGCAGCAGGAUGGAUGUGAUGACGAAGAACAAAAAGAACAAGAAGAAAAGCAUCAGGAUGGAUGUGAUGACAAAGAACAAGGUCAGUGUGUGGGAGAAGAGCAAGUGCAUCAUGAUGCACGAGAAGCCAAUUCUGGUGGAGGAGUUGCUGCACCUAAGGCUCCUCCUGUUUCUGAUUCGGACACUGGGAAAUCUGUUGUGCUUCGGAGGCGUGUCAAGCAUAUUGGUAAGAAGAAAAUAGCAGAGUCUCUGGAUGCCAAACUUUCGAAAGAAGCACCCCCUCAACCACACACCAUUGAUGAAAAGGAAGCUAAAAUCCAAAAAAAGAAAGUUAUCCUCUCCAAAGAGCCCAGACAACGCCUGGAAUCUCCUAAGAUAUCCUCCAACCUUUAUCCCCGUAAUGAAAAGCGUCAAAGGUUGAAUUGGACAGCUGAUGAGGAAGACACACUAAAGGAAGGAGUGGAGAAAUUUGCUAUACCAGGAAACAAAAAUACUCCAUGGAGAAAAAUUUUGGAGUUUGGUCAUCGUGUUUUUGAUUCAACUCGAACUCCCACUGAUCUCAAGGAUAAGUGGAGGAAUAUGACAAAAUAGAACUUGGUCUUUUCUAUAUCUAACAUGAUUGUGUCAAACUAUUCUUCUUAGGGCAAACCGCUGGGCGACUGGCUUUUUGGUUACACUGUUCGGAACAGAGGUAUUUGGGUGGCGAUCAGUAUCUAAGUAACAUCUGAACAAGCACAGCUCCGUAUUUUCGCUCUCAUUCACAUUCACCUCAAAUGAUCCCCCGUUAGUUUCUUGUGUGAUCAAGUAUUUCUCCUUGCUCCGAUUCCUGGAAGAUCAUCCUCGGCCAUAGUUUUUUGUAGCCCACAAGAAUCCAAGAGUCCCAAAGAAAGCACCUCCCUUCCCUUCCCCAUUUCCCCCAUUAAUUUUGGGACUGGAAGAGGCUGCUACUAAAAAAAAGCAAUGUCAAGAAGCAACCACGUGGUGGCACAGGGGAAGAGAUCAACACGUGGCGACGGAAGAACUGCUUGGAAAGUAGGGAAUAAGACGGUGGAUUUUGUAGCAGAUAUAUGAGAUCAUCUUCGGCUAUACGGCCAAUUGAAACAUCCAAGACCGUCUCCAUGUCACUGCUGCUUGCAGGACAUUAUUCUCCACCAGAGCUGUGUACCUGACUCGUGAUAUGAAAAUUAAGAACAUUAAGUAGUGCAAAUCAUAGAAUAACAAAGUAAAUUAAUACACUACAUUUGAGAA